rnacentral:rRNA from 1 species
CGGCAUGCCUUACACAUGCAAGUCGAACGGCAGCACGGGAGCAAUCCUGGUGGCGAGUGGCGAACGGGUGAGUAAUACAUCGGAACGUGCCCUGUAGUGGGGGAUAACUAGUCGAAAGACUAGCUAAUACCGCAUACGACCUGAGGGUGAAAGUGGGGGACCGCAAGGCCUCAUGCUAUAGGAGCGGCCGAUGUCUGAUUAGCUAGUUGGUGGGGUAAAGGCCUACCAAGGCGACGAUCAGUAGCUGGUCUGAGAGGACGAUCAGCCACACUGGGACUGAGACACGGCCCAGACUCCUACGGGAGGCAGCAGUGGGGAAUUUUGGACAAUGGGGGCAACCCUGAUCCAGCAAUGCCGCGUGUGUGAAGAAGGCCUUCGGGUUGUAAAGCACUUUUGUCCGGGAAGAAAUCGCACCUGAUAAUACCGGGUGUGGAUGACGGUACCGGAAGAAUAAGGACCGGCUAACUACGUGCCAGCAGCCGCGGUAAUACGUAGGGUCCAAGCGUUAAUCGGAAUUACUGGGCGUAAAGCGUGCGCAGGCGGUUGUGCAAGACCGAUGUGAAAUCCCCGGGCUUAACCUGGGAAUUGCAUUGGUGACUGCACGGCUAGA